CACAAAAUUGGCCUUCUCUUCCUGGUUCUUCCUGGAGUUGGGAAAAGCUGGGUUGAGAGGGUGACAAAAAUAAAAA
rnacentral:pre_miRNA from 1 species